rnacentral:rRNA from 1 species
GACGAACGCUGGCGGCGUGCUUAACACAUGCAAGUCGAACGGAAAGGCCCUGCUUUUGUGGGGUGCUCGAGUGGCGAACGGGGGAGUAACACGUGAGUAACCUGCCCUUGACUUUGGGAUAACUUCAGGAAACUGGGGCUAAUACCGGAUAGGAGCUCCUGCUGCAUGGUGGGGGUUGGAAAGUGUCGGCGGUUGGGGAUGGACUCGCGGCUUACCAGCUUGUUGGUGGGGUAGUGGCUGACCAAGGCUUUGACGGGUAGCCGGCCUGAGAGGGUGACCGGCGACAUUGGGACUACGAGACGGCGCAGUCUCCUACGGGAGGCAGCAGUGGGGAGUAUUGCACAACGGGGGGAAGCCUGAUGCAGCAACGCCGCGUGCGGGAUGCCGGCCUUCGGGUUGUAAACCGCUUUCGCCUGUGACGAAGCGUGAGUGACGGUAAUGGGUAAAGAAGCACCGGCUAACUACGUG